rnacentral:rRNA from 1 species
CCCGCUGAACUUAAGCAUAUCAAUAAGCGGAGGAAAAGAAACCAACUGGGAUUCUCGUAGUAAGGGCGACUGAAGUGAGAAAAGCUCAAGCUUAAAAUCUGAGAGUUCUGCUCUCCGAAUUGUAGUUUUGUGGGUAACUUAUAGGGGAAGGACUGGUUUAAGUUCACUGGAAAGUGACGCCACAGAGGGUGAUAGCCCCGUGAAGCCUGGCCUGAACUGUUUUUGUUGCUUCGAAGAGUCGGGUUGUUUGGGAGUACAGCCCUAAGUGGGAGGUAAAUUCCUUCUAAAGCUAAAUAUUGGUAGGAGACCGAUAGCGAACAAGUACCGUGAGGGAAAGAUGAAAAGAACUUUGAAAAGAGAGUUAAAAGUACGUGAAAUUGUUAACAGGGAAGCGAUUGAACGCAGUAGUAUAUCAGCCAGUGAUUCAUUUAUUUACGCUGAAUUUGGUGCGUGUUAGAGCUGGCCUUUGUGUCGGUCUACGCGUAUUAAACAGAGGCUAUGAUGAUGCACUUCAUUGGUUGGUCAGGCAACAUGGGUUAGUUGUUGGGGAAAGAGCUGGUGAGGAGGUACUAAUAGUCUCUAUUGGGAAUACUCAUUAGUUGUACCUGGUAAUUGACCGAGGGGUUCAUUGAACCGAAAUGGGGGCUUGCGAGGGAUGCGUUUGGCUGUGAGUGGUAACGCGUGGGACAAUUUAUUGUGUUAUGUGAUUACUGUUUAUAGACGGAUGGUACUAUCUCCCCAUUAAAGAUGUUUCCGAAAUGCGUUUAAUCGUCCCGUCUUGAAACACGG